rnacentral:rRNA from 1 species
UGAAUACGAGACGCUAAGGCGUCGAAGUAGUGUAUGUCAUACUUCCAAGAAAAGCUUGCACUGUCAUAGAUAAAAAACGCCUGUACCAUAACCGACACAGGUGGGUAGGUAGAGUAUACUAAGGGGCGCGAGAUAACUCUCUCUAAGGAACUCGGCAAAAUAACUCCGUAACUUCGGGAGAAGGAGUGCCUUAUUUUUAGGGCUGCAAUAACAAGAUCCAAGCAACUGUUUAUCAAAAACACAGGUCUCCGCUAAGUCGUAAGACGAUGUAUGGGGGCUGACGCCUGCCCAGUGCCAGAAGGUUAAAGAAGUUGGUUAGCUUUUGCGAAGCUGAUAACUGAAGCCCUGGUGAACGGCGGCCGUAACAAUAACGGUCCUAAGGUAGCGAAAUUCCUUGUCGGGUAAGUUCCGACCCGCACGAAAGGCGUAAUGAUUUGGAUACUGUCUCGGAGAGGGGCUCGGUGAAAUAGACUUGUCUGUGAAGAUGCGGACUACCUGCACCAGGACAGAAAGACCCUAUGAAGCUUUACUGUAACUUGAAAUUGAAAUAGGACUUUAUUCGCGCAGCAUAGGUGGGAGGCGUUGAUUAUAAUCUCGUGGGAUUAUUGGAGCCAUCAGUGAGAUACCACUCUUGUAAUGUUAGAUUUCUAACUUUGAAUCAUUAUCUGGUCAAAGAACAGUUUCAGGCGGGCAGUUUGACUGGGGCGGUCGCCUCCUAAACGGUAACGGAGGCGUACAAAGGUUUCCUCUGAACGGUUAGAAAUCGUAUCUAGAGUGUAAAGGCAUAAGGAAGCUUGACUGUGAGACCUACAAGUCGAGCAGGGACGAAAGUCGGUCUUAGUGAUCUGACGGUACUGAGUGGAAAGGCCGUCACUCAACGGAUAAAAGUUACUCUAGGAUAACAGGCUGAUCUCCCCCAAGAGUUCACAUCGACGGGGAGGUUUGGCACCUCGAUGUCGGCUCAUCGCAUCCUGGGGCGGUAGUACGUCCCAAGGGUUGGGCUGUUCGCCCAUGAAAGCGGUACGCGAGCUGGGUUCAGAACGUCGUGAGACAGUUCGGUCCAUAUCCGGUGUAGGCGUUAGAAUAUUGAGAGGAGCCUUCUUUAGUACGAGAGGACCGAGAAGGACAUACCUCUGGUGUACCAGUUAUCGUGCCAACGGUAAACGCUGGGUAGCUAUGUAUGGAGUGGAUAACCGCUGAAAGCAUCUAAGUGGGAAGCCCACCUCAAGAUAAGUAUUCU